CUGCUUUAUUCUGUUUGGAAAAUGGCAAUGUAGAAUGUGUUUGGUGUAACCUUAAUCCUGACCAGCAUCUGGGCUCCGUUUGAAAAAAAAAAGCAUCUACUGCAAGCUCAGGCUCUCCCUCCCUCAUGGCCGGAGUGGAAAAGCACGUUUAAAUCCCGAACUCGGCUUUCCCACGUGGUGUCUCGCUGAGCUGCUGUCACAGCCACGCCGCGCUCUCACAGGGCACCGGACUUCUCCCCUGCCCUGCCGGGAGGGCACAAGGAGGCAGCCUUCAUCGAGCGAGGAGAGCGAAUCUUGGCAAAAAGAGCACCGAAGGAUGUGAACCCCUUGGAAAAUUCCACUUCCUGCCCAGCACUGCGUGUCCUUGGGUCUCUCACUCAUUCCCAUGCACUUAACGAGGGAUUUCUGCCUCAGGCCAC
rnacentral:lncRNA from 1 species